UACAGUUACAGGAAAUACAGUUUUUAGCUUGGCUGUUGCGCUGGUGAUCUCCCUCUUUGGCACAUUGCUGGGUCAAUCAUUAUGGUGAGAUUUUCAUUAAUUGAUCGUUUGAAACAGCGUUCAUCGCUGUACCACUAACAGGAGAUUGUGUAAUGACCAUGACUCGCUUCGUUACUUACGCAGACAUUUUGCUUAUACAUACAUACUUAUGUAUGUAUCUGCAGCACAUUGCGUGCUGCAUUCCAGUGGCAUGCAUUUAGUUAUACAAAUAAAAGCUUUAAAUAUAUUUUAAAUUUUAUUUCAACUUGCACACUAUACUAGUUUUUGCUUUUUUUUUUAAUAAAAUAUACAUGUACAUUUACAUACAUAUAUUGUUGGCAAUAGUUUAUUAGCAAUACUUUCUUUGCGUGAAGCAAAAACAAAAAUGUUACUCAUUUAAUGAGUGGAGCUAUGACUGGAUAUGCCUGCUUUCUUUCUUUGUUUUACUUUACAUACAUAUACAUUUAACAAAGAAAAUGUUCAAUAUUUCGAAUGUUGUUAUUUAAAUUAGUUAUUUCUACUUCGUUUUUCUGAGUAGAUAUUAAACAUAUUAAAGACGACAACGAAAAUAAA